AACGGCCGCGGUAUCCUAACCGUGCGAAGGUAGCGUAAUCACUUGUCCCCUAACUAGGGACCCGUAUGAACGGCCUAAUGAGGGUCCAACUGUCUCCUACAGCCAGUUAAUGAACCUGAUCUUUCAGUCAAAAAGCUGAAAUAUAAACAUAAGACGAAAAGACCCCGUGGAGCUUUAAGCAACCCACUAUAAAUAACUUUAGCCACUACGACUACCAAAAUAUUUUUUAGUCGACUAGCUUUAAGUUGGGGCAACUAUGGAGAAAAAUGAAACCUCCAUGAGCCGGGCUAAAACCCCACUACAGGCUGACAAGCCAAACAAAACUCAGACCCAGUCACACUGACCAUCGAACCAAGUUACCCCGGGGAUAACAGCGCUAUUCCCCUAAAGAGUCCUUAUCAAAAGGGGAGCUUACGACCUCGAUGUUGGAUCAGGACAACCAGGCGGUGAAGCCGCUGCCAUCGGUUCGUUUGUUCAACGAUUAA
rnacentral:rRNA from 1 species